rnacentral:rRNA from 1 species
UUGAACGCUGGCGGCAGGCCUAACACAUGCAAGUCGAGCGGAUGAAGGGAGCUUGCUCCUGGAUUCAGCGGCGGACGGGUGAGUAAUGCCUAGGAAUCUGCCUGGUAGUGGGGGAUAACGUCCGGAAACGGGCGCUAAUACCGCAUACGUCCUGAGGGAGAAAGUGGGGGAUCUUCGGACCUCACGCUAUCAGAUGAGCCUAGGUCGGAUUAGCUAGUUGGUGGGGUAAAGGCCUACCAAGGCGACGAUCCGUAACUGGUCUGAGAGGAUGAUCAGUCACACUGGAACUGAGACACGGUCCAGACUCCUACGGGGGGCAGCAGUGGGGAAUAUUGGACAAUGGGCGAAAGCCUGAUCCAGCCAUGCCGCGUGUGUGAAGAAGGUCUUCGGAUUGUAGAGCACUUUAAGUUGGGAGGAAGGGCAGUAAGUUAAUACCUUGCUGUUUUGACGUUACCAACAGAAUAAGCACCGGCUAACUUCGUG